UACAGAGGUCUCAAGCGUUGUUCGGAUUCAUUGGGCGUAAAGGGUGCGUAGGUGGUAUCGUAAGUCGGAUGUGAAAUCUCGGGGCUCAACCCCGAAACUGCAUUCGAUACUGCGGUGCUUGAGGACUGGAGAGGAGAUUGGAAUUCACGGUGUAGCAGUGAAAUGCGUAGAUAUCGUGAGGAAGGCCAGUGGCGAAGGCGGAUCUCUGGACAGUUCCUGACACUGAGGCACGAAGGUCAGGGGAGCAAACGGG
rnacentral:rRNA from 1 species